rnacentral:rRNA from 1 species
GAUGAACGCUAGCGAGAGGGCCUAACACAUGCAAGUCGAGGGGUAACAGGGGAGCUUGCUCCCGCUGACGACCGGCGCACGGGUGAGUAACACGUAUCCAACCUGGCCCAUACUCGGGUAUAGCCUCUCGAAAGGGAGAUUAAUCCCCGAUGUUGUUGUUUCACCGCAUGGUGUAUCAACCAAAGAAUUUCGGUAUGGGAUGGGGAUGCGUUCCAUUAGCUUGUUGGCGGGGUAACGGCCCACCAAGGCGACGAUGGAUAGGGGUUCUGAGAGGAAGGUCCCCCACACUGGAACUGAGACACGGUCCAGACUCCUACGGGAGGCAGCAGUGAGGAAUAUUGGUCAAUGGGCGGGAGCCUGAACCAGCCAAGUCGCGUGAGGGAAGACGGCCCUACGGGUUGUAAACCUCUUUAGUCGGGGAGCAAAAAGGAUCACGCGUGGUCCAUUGAGCGUACCCGAAGAAUAAGCAUCGGCUAACUCCGUG